rnacentral:misc_RNA from 1 species
GCUAUAUAUUAUAACGCUAUAACUAAUAGGAGCGGAGCACCAAUGAAGAAUGUUUCAAAAUCGGCUUUGUUUUUCCUUUUCAGAGCUUCCGCUGCGUGCCCUGUGUAAACAGUAAAAGUUUUGCAAAAAUCAUGUGUGACAGAAUUGUUCAUAUUCCACACGGACGAAGUCAGAGGCAGAAGCUAGUUACAAAUAAUGAGAGAGCGAAAAGUUCCUAGAAUAACGUAACGGUGACGUCAAAGAUAAAGUACAUUUGAAAAUCGUAUAAAUAUGCCACUAACGAGGGUUACUCCUCCAAGACGAAGAUUGUCAAGUUGAUGUCGUAUUCCUUGGAGAUGUGAGAAACGGCAAGAUCCAAGGCAAGCGCAGUGCGGGUCGUGGAAGAACAUCUUGGCUAAAAAAUCUACGCCAAUGGUUUGGGAAAAAGCACCCGUUCGUUAUUCAGGGCCGCGGUAUCAAGGGUACAAGUUACCAAAAUAAUCGCCGAACUUCGUGAGAAAAUGACACUUUAAGAAGGAGAAGAUAGAUAAAAUAGAAAUAUUCUUUUUUGUACACCAAAAAAAAAUACAAUAAAUUUUACGAAUGC